ACGGGAGGCAGCAGUGGGGAAUAUUGCACAAUGGGGGAAACCCUGAUGCAGCAACGCCGCGUGAGCGAUGAAGGUCUUCGGAUCGUAAAGCUCUGUCCUUGGGGACGAAUAAUGACGGUACCCUUGGAGGAAGCCCCGGCUAACUACGUGCCAGCAGCCGCGGUAAUACGUAGGGGGCAAGCGUUAUCCGGAAUUAUUGGGCGUAAAGAGUACGUAGGUGGCUUUGUAAGCGAGAGGUGAAAGCCCGGGGCUUAACUCCGGUAAGCCUUUCGAACUGCAAGGCUUGAGUGCAGGAGGGGAAAGUGGAAUUCCUAGUGUAGCGGUGAAAUGCGUAGAUAUUAGGAGGAACACCGGUGGCGAAGGCGACUUUCUGGACUGUAACUGACACUGAGGUACGAAAGCGUGGGGAGCAAACAGGAUUAGAUACCCUGGUA
rnacentral:rRNA from 1 species